rnacentral:rRNA from 1 species
AUUGAACGCUGGCGGCAUGCCUUACACAUGCAAGUCGAACGGUAACGGGCCUUCGGGUGCCGACGAGUGGCGAACGGGUGAGUAAUGUAUCGGAACGUACCUUUCAGUGGGGGAUAACGUAGCGGAAGUUACGCUAAUACCGCAUAUUCUGUGAGCAGGAAAGCAGGGGAUCGCAAGACCUUGCGCUGAUUGAGCGGCCGAUAUCAGAUUAGCUAGUUGGUGAGGUAAAGGCUCACCAAGGCGACGAUCUGUAGCGGGUCUGAGAGGAUGAUCCGCCACACUGGAACUGGGACACGGUCCAGACUCCUACGGGAGGCAGCAGUGGGGAAUUUUGGACAAUGGGGGCAACCCUGAUCCAGCCAUGCCGCGUGAGUGAAGAAGGCCUUCGGGUUGUAAAGCUCUUUCGGCCGGGAAGAAAUCGUAUCAGCUAAUACCUGGUGCGGAUGACGGUACCGGCAUAAGAAGCACCGGCUAACUACGUGCCAGCAGCCGCCGUAAGAC